UGUUUGAUCCCUGGCUCAGAUUGAACGCUGGCGGCAGGCCUAACACAUGCAAGUCGAGCGGAUGAGAGGAGCUUGCUCCUCGAUUCAGCGGCGGACGGGUGAGUAAUGCCUAGGAAUCUGCCUAGUAGUGGGGGACAACGUUUCGAAAGGAACGCUAAUACCGCAUACGUCCUACGGGAGAAAGUGGGGGAUCUUCGGACCUCACGCUAUUAGAUGAGCCUAGGUCGGAUUAGCUAGUUGGUAGGGUAAAGGCCUACCAAGGCGACGAUCCGUAACUGGUCUGAGAGGAUGAUCAGUCACACUGGAACUGAGACACGGUCCAGACUCCUACGGGAGGCAGCAGUGGGGAAUAUUGGACAAUGGGCGAAAGCCUGAUCCAGCCAUGCCGCGUGUGUGAAGAAGGCCCUCGGGUCGUAAAGCACUUUAAGUUGGGAGGAAGGGCUUACAGCGAAUACCUGUGAGUUUUGACGUUACCGACAGAAUAAGCACCGGCUAACUUCGUGCCAGCAGCCGCGGUAAUACGAAGGGUGCAAGCGUUAAUCGGAAUUACUGGGCGUAAAGCGCGCGUAGGUGGCUUGAUAAGUUGGAUGUGAAAUCCCCGGGCUCAACCUGGGAACUGCAUCCAAAACUGUCUGGCUAGAGUGCGGUAGAGGGUAGUGGAAUUUCCAGUGUAGCGGUGAAAUGCGUAGAUAUUGGAAGGAACACCAGUGGCGAAGGCGACUACCUGGACUGACACUGACACUGAGGUGCGAAAGCGUGGGGAGCAAACAGGAUUAGAUACCCUGGUAGUCCACGCCGUAAACGAUGUCAACUAGCCGUUGGGAUCCUUGAGAUCUUAGUGGCGCAGCUAACGCAUAA
rnacentral:rRNA from 1 species